rnacentral:rRNA from 1 species
AGUCGAGGGGCAGCAUAAAUUACUUGUAAUUUGAUGGCGACCGGCGAACGGGUGCGUAACGCGUAUGCAACCUACCUUUUACUAGAGAAUAGCCAAGAGAAAUUUUGAUUAAUGCUCUAUACACUUUAAGACUCACAUGAGUCUAAAAGAAAAGCUCCGGCGGUAAAAGAUGGGCAUGCGUUCUAUUAGCUUGUAGGUGAGGUAACGGCUCACCUAAGCUUCGAUAGAUAGGGGUCCUGAGAGGGAGACCCCCCACACUGGUACUGAGACACGGACCAGACUUCUACGGAAAGCAGCAGCAAGGAAUAUUGGACAAUGGAGGCAACUCUGAUCCAGCCAUGCCGCGUGAAGGAAGAAGGCCCUAUGGGUCGUAAACUUCUUUUAUACAGGAAGAAAUCUUUCCACGUGUGGAAAGUUGACGGUACUGUAAGAAUAAGGAUCGGCUAACUCCGUGCCAGCAGCCGCGGUAAUACGGAGGAUCCAAGCGUUAUCCGGAAUUAUUGGGUUUAAAGGGUCCGCAGGCUGUUUGUUAAGUUAGAGGUGAAAUCCUACCGCUCAACGGUAGAACUGCCUUUAAAACUGGCAAACUUGAGUUAUUGUGAAGUAAUUAGAAUGUGUAGUGCAGCGGUGAAAUGCAUAGAUAUUACACAGAAUACCGAUUGCGAAAGCAGAUUACUAACAAUUAACUGACGCUGAGGGACGAAAGCGUGGGUAGCGAACAGGAUUAGAUACCCUGGUAGUCCACGCCGUAAACGAUGGCCACUAGCUGUUUGAUGUACAUUGGUACAUUGAGUGGCUAAGCGAAAGUGAUAAGUGA